GAAACUGUCAGCAUAAAAAUCCCUAGCAGUCACUAGGUGCAAUAAUUCCCAAUAAUAGGUCGAGUUACACGUGGAAAUAUACGUGCAUUAACUCACACCUUCAAUCCAGCAUCACCACAAAAGUCGCUGUUCAACAUACAAGUCCUUACAGACAUUCAAAUGAUUUCACACUUCACACAUCUUCGGAAACAUGUGUAUAGAUGCAAACACAAUUGAAAAUGGCACAGGCUUGCUUACCUUUGUGUGGUCACUGUUGGAA
rnacentral:misc_RNA from 1 species